CCUACGGGUGGCAGCAGUGAGGAAUAUUGGUCAAUGGACGAGAGUCUGAACCAGCCAAGUAGCGUGAAGGAUGACUGCCCUAUGGGUUGUAAACUUCUUUUAUAUGGGAAUAAAACGUUCCACGUGUGGGAUUUUGUAUGUACCAUAUGAAUAAGGAUCGGCUAACACCGUGCCAGCAGCCGCGGUAAUACGGAGGAUCCGAGCGUUAUCCGGAUUUAUUGGGUUUAAAGGGAGCGUAGGUGGAUUGUUAAGUCAGUUGUGAAAGUUUGCGGCUCAACCGUAAAAUUGCAGUUGAAACUGGCAGUCUUGAGUACAGUAGAGGUGGGCGGAAUUCGUGGUGUAGCGGUGAAAUGCUUAGAUAUCACGAAGAACUCCGAUUGCGAAGGCAGUUCACUGGACUGCAACUGACACUGAGGCUCGAAAGUGUGGGUAUCAAACAGGAUUAGAUACCCCAGUAGUC
rnacentral:rRNA from 1 species